AGAGUUUGAUUCUGGCUCAGAACGAACGCUGGCGGCGUGGAUAAGACAUGCAAGUCGAACGGGAGUUUGCUGGUAGUAAUAUUAGUGAACUCGAGUGGCGAAAGGGUGUGUAAUAUGUAGCUAUUUACCUCGAAGUGGGGGAUAUCUCCGAGAAAUCGGAGUUAAUACCGCAUGUGACUGUAAGGUCAAAGCUGGGGAUCGUAAGACUUGGUGCUUUGAGAUGAGGCUGCGGCCUAUCAGGUUGUUGGCGGGGUAAUGGCCCACCAAGCCUAAGACGGGUAGCUGGUCUGAGAGGACGACCAGCCACACUGGAACUGAGAUACGGUCCAGACACCUAUGGGUGGCAGUAGUCGAGGAUUUUUCUCAAUGGGGGAAACCCUGAAGGAGCGACGCCGCGCGAGGGAUGAAGGUCUUUGGAUUGUAAACCUCUGUCAUCUGGGAACAAUGUGAUCUACCUAACACGUGGAUUAUUGAUAGUACCGGAAGAGGAAGCAGUGGUUAAUUCUGUGCCAGCAGUUGCGGUAAUACAGAGACUGCAAGCGUUGUUCGGAUUCAUUGGGCGUAAAGGGUGCGUAGGCGGUCUGUUAAGUCGGAUGUGAAAUUUCACAGUUUAACUGUGAUAGGUCAUUCGAAACUGGCGGACUUGAGGGCUGGAGAGGAGACUGGAAUAGUCGGUGUAGCGGUGAAAUGUGUAGAGAUUGACUAGAACACCGGUGGCGAAGGCGAGUCUCUGGACAGUUCCUGACGCUCAGGCACGAAAGCCAGGGGAGUAAACGGGAUUAGAUACCCCGGUAGUCCUGGCCCUAAACGGUGUUCACUUGGUGUGCGGGGAGUUGAUCCCCUGCGUGCCGAAGCUAAUGCGAUAAGUGAACCGCCUGGGAAGUACGACCGUAAGGUUAAAACUCAAAGAAAUUGACGGGGGCCCGCAUAAGCGGUGGAGCAUGUGGCUUAAUUCAUGCUACGUGAAGAACCUUAUCUGGCCUUGAUAUGCUGGUAGUAGAAGCCUGAAAGGGUGACGACUCCUCGUAAGAGGAGAGCCAGCACAGGUGCUGCAUGGUUGUCGUCAGCUCGUGUUGUGAGAUGUUGGCUUAAGUGCCGCAACGAGCGCAACCCCUGUGUUUAGUUGCCUGCGAAAGCGGGAUUUCUAAACAGACUGCCUCGCUUUAAACGAGGAGGAAGGUGGGGAUGACGUCAAAUCAGUAUGGCCUUUAUGGCCAGCCUGCACACGUGCUACAAUGCAUGGUAUAGAGGGACGCAAGACCGUGAGGUGGAGCAAAUCCCAUAAAACCAUGCCCAGUUCAGAUUGAAGGCUGUAAUUCGCCUUCAUGAAGCCGGAAUCGCUAGUAAUGGCGUAUUAGCUACGGCGCCGUGAAUACGUUCCCGGGCCUUGUACACACCGCCCGUCACAUCAUGGAAGCUAUCUGCACCCGAAGUCGCCAUGUCAACCCGUAAGGGAGACAGGCGCCGAAGGUAUGGAUAGUGACUGGGAUGAAGUUGUAACAAGGUA
rnacentral:rRNA from 1 species